UAGGGAAUCUUCCGCAAUGGACGCAAGUCUGACGGAGCAACGCCGCGUGAGUGAAGAAGGAUUUCGGUUCGUAAAACUCUGUUGUUAGAGAAGAACAGCGCAUAGAGUAACUGUUAUGCGUGUGACGGUAUCUAACCAGAAAGCCACGGCUAACUACGUGCCAGCAGCCGCGGUAAUACGUAGGUGGCAAGCGUUGUCCGGAUUUAUUGGGCGUAAAGCGAGCGCAGGCGGUCAAUUAAGUCUGAUGUGAAAGCCCCCGGCUCAACCGGAGAGGGUCAUUGGAAACUGGUUGACUUGAGUGCAGAAGAGGAGAGUGGAAUUCCAUGUGUAGCGGUGAAAUGCGUAGAUAUAUGGAGGAACACCAGUGGCGAAGGCGACUCUCUGGUAUGUAACUGACGCUGAGGCUCGAAAGCGUGGGUAGCAAACAGG
rnacentral:rRNA from 1 species